GUGGAGGCGCCGGCUGGAGACGGACUGCGCCCGGAGCGAGCACCUGGGGCCGGAGAGGCGGCAGCUAACGGCGGCGCGGGGGCCGGGGAGCGCUCACCAACCAGAUGAGAAGACUGAAGUCCAAAAUAUGGAAGAGAGAUGACCACAGUCAAAAUCUGAUACCUUUACGAUGGCUUUUGGGGGCCUGUGCACUCUCAAGAAACUGAUUCCUCCUGUGUGAAAAUGUAGAGAGCCUGGAAGAAUGGAACAUAUCAUGACUGGUCUCUGAAUACCUCAUCCUGGAGGGAGUUUUCUUGCUCUCACAUAUAAUUCAGCGCUCAGUCAAUCAACACAUUUAAAGGAAGUUUCCAAACAUGUCUGAAACUUUAGGUGCAGAGAUUUUAGUGCCAAUUGACAAGGGCAGUUUAGAACAGAACAGAGGUGGGAAAUCAGGAAAGUGAAGAAGCAGUGUGAUUGAGUAGAGACAGCCAGCUCAGUCAGCAACUAGCUGGAUGCCUCUGGUUAUUAUGCCCACACCUCAGUUUUCCAACUCUGAAACGAAAGGAACUUUGUGAGAAAAGCACAUUUACAGUGUCUCCCUGUAUGCUCCCCCUGACAUUGAAUUCCCCGAGGGUAUACUGCUGCCAGCCCUCCUCGUCAUGCUUUUCCCUCACCAGCCCUUUCUAGCCUCCACAUUUUUUCACUAGGGAUGUUUUAUUGAGAAAGACUGGUGGCACCUGGCAAAAUAUCAUAUGCUGUCUCCCAGAUUCCUGAAUAAUUUCUUCUAGGUUGGAAAGGAGUAUCUUUCAUUUUCAAAUACCUGUAUCUAAUGUCAGCCUUGCCCUGAGGAGCAACACCGCAGAGCUAGAGGGUGGGAUCUUUAGUUAGCUUCUCUGAGGCCAUGUGCUAAUAAAACAAACAAACAAAAUAAAAUUUAACAAAUCUUU